GGCGUGGGGCUGAGUUACGGCUGAGCUGGAUGAGGCUGCGGGAGACGAUAGACCCGUGAGUCAAUAGAGGGUGGCAGGCUGGCCGCCAGCGGCGAGAGAGCAACAGCAGCCCUGUAAUGAACCUGUGCCAGGGGCCCGGUGCUUACCCAGGCCUGGCGCUUGGCCUCAGCCCAGGUGGAAGGAGCAGGGCUCUGGAAUGCAGGCCUGAUGCAGGGGCGACCCGCGGUUUCCUAAGGAUCCCUACCCUACAGGCAUGUCACUCAGAUGCAGUACCACAGUCAUAAUUCCAGAAAGGAUUUAAUGUCAUAAAGGUAUCUACCACGGAGGAGAACCUUAUGUGACAAUGUGAAUACUCAAAGAGUUCCUUGUUCCAAUCCCAGAUGGAGUGAAUGGCUGAAUUAUGAUAUAUACAUUCCUGAUCUUCCUCGUGCUGAUUGAGUCUGCCUUUCCAUUUGUUCUGUUAAAGGCCGCAAGGGUGCUAAAGAGGAACAUUGUCCACUGUCCUGGGGAAAUAUAAACUUGUUUGAUUAUACAGACACUCUGAUAUCUGGAAAAAUGACUUUGAAUCUUUGGACAGUACCUCAUGGAUUAGAAGAUUUGUUGAACCCAAUUGGUGUUACUGGAUUAAAUCCAAAUAAGGAAACACCAUGCUUAGAGUUGGAGUUUGACUGGUUCAGCAGUGUGGUUAAGUUUCCAGAUAUGUCAGUAAUUGAAGAGCACACCAACUUGUCUGCGUCCCGAGAAGCAGGAUUUAGUUAUUCCCAUGCAGGACUGGUAAGACAAAUCACUCAGUUUAUUAACUACCAGUCAUAGUCUGUGGAUUUGGGUACAUACUCUUUUUGUAUGAAAAGGGGUCAAUGUAUUUUAGUUAAAUUGCCAUAGAUAUUUUGAGCUCUAGGAUAAUAGUGUAAUGAAAUAAAAUUCUCUAUAUGCUAAAAAAAAAAAAAUCAGUUUGCUGGCUGGGCGUAGUGGCUCAUGCAUGUAAUCCUAGCACUCUGGGAGGCUGAGGGGGGUGGAUUGCCUGAGGUCACAAGUUUGAGACCACCCUGGGCAAAAGUGAGACCCUGUCUCUACUAAAAGUAGAAAAAGUGGGUGGCGUCUGUGGCUCAGUAAGUAGGGUGCUGGCCCCACAUACUGAGGGUGGUGGGUUUAAACUCGGCCCUGUCCAAACUGCAACAAAAAAACAGCCAGGCGUUGUGGUGGGCACCUGUGGUCCCAGCUACUUGGGAG